GUGCACCAGUCGAGAAUUUUUCUCAAUGGGCGAAAGCCUGAAGGAGCGACGCCGCGUGGGGGAUGAAGGGUUUCGAUCCGUAAACCCCUGUCAUUUGCGAACAAACCUUAGCAUUUAAAAGAUGUUGAGCUGAUUGUAGUGAAAGAGGAAGGGACGGCUAACUCUGUGCCAGCAGCCGCGGUAAUACAGAGGUCCCAAGCGUUGUUCGGAUUCACUGGGCGUAAAGGGUGCGUAGGUGGCUUGGUAAGUUUGAUGUGAAAUCUCCGGGCUUAACCCGGAAAUGGCAUUGAAUACUAUUGAGCUGGAGGUUUGGAGGGGGGACUGGAAUUCUCGGUGUAGCAGUGAAAUGCGUAGAUAUCGAGAGGAACACCAGUGGCGAAGGCGAGUCCCUGGACAACACCUGACACUGAGGCACGAAAGCUAGGGGAGCAAACAGGAUUAGAUACCCCCGUAGU
rnacentral:rRNA from 1 species